rnacentral:antisense_RNA from 1 species
UCCCAAGUAUCCUGAGAUUCCACUAAAGCAUAGUCGCCAAAAUGAUCCCCAUCGGCUAAUACAUUCAAAACAACUUGCUCGUCAUAUUUGCCAGGGCCAAUUUUAUUGACUUUACCAUGAGCAAUCAGCAAUACUUGCUCCGCUGGUUGGCCUGCUUGUACGAUCGUAUCUCCCGCAGCAAAUUCUUGUUGUACAAAUUGACUCGCUAAGGCGUUUAACACCUCAACAUCUUGAAAUCCUCGCAACAAAGGUAACUCAGUGAGUUCUUGAGGAAUGACCUGUACUUGGGACCCUACAUUAGUAAAGGUGACUCGUCCAUCUCCAACCGUAUAGGUUAAGCGACGGUUGACCCGGUAGCUACCACCCACUGUUUCUACCCAAGGCAGCAGUUUUAACAACCACCGUGAAGUGAUUCCCUGCAUCUGGGGUUGAGUUUUGGUAGUGGUUGCCAAAUUACGCGCUGCUUCGGUCUGCAAACUCAUUGGCAGUUGCUCAAU